rnacentral:rRNA from 1 species
CGGCGAACGGGUGAGUAACACGUGGGUGAUCUGCCUCGCACUUCGGGAUAAGCCUGGGAAACUGGGUCUAAUACCGGAUAUGACUUCUGGUCGCAUGGCUGGGGGUGGAAAGAUUUAUCGGUGCGAGAUGGGCCCGCGGCCUAUCAGCUUGUUGGUGGGGUAAUGGCCUACCAAGGCGACGACGGGUAGCCGGCCUGAGAGGGCGACCGGCCACACUGGGACUGAGACACGGCCCAGACUCCUACGGGAGGCAGCAGUGGGGAAUAUUGCACAAUGGGCGAAAGCCUGAUGCAGCGACGCCGCGUGAGGGAUGACGGCCUUCGGGUUGUAAACCUCUUUCGACAGGGACGAAGCGCAAGUGACGGUACCUGUAGAAGAAGCACCGGCCAACUACGUGCCAGCAGCCGCGGUAAUACGUAGGGUGCGAGCGUUGUCCGGAAUUACUGGGCGUAAAGAGCUUGUAGGCGGUUUGUCGCGUCGUCUGUGAAAACUCACAGCUCAACUGUGAGCUUGCAGGCGAUACGGGCAGACUUGAGUACUGCAGGGGAGACUGGAAUUCCUGGUGUAGCGGUGAAAUGCGCAGAUAUCAGGAGGAACACCGGUGGCGAAGGCGGGUCUCUGGGCAGUAACUGACGCUGAGAAGCGAAAGCGUGGGUAGCGAACAGGAUUAGAUACCCUGGUAGUCCACGCCGUAAACGGUGGGCGCUAGGUGUGGGUUUCCUUCCACGGGAUCCGUGCCGUAGCUAACGCAUUAAGCGCCCCGCCUGGGGAGUACGGCCGCAAGGCUAAAACUCAAAGGAAUUGACGGGGGCCCGCACAAGCGGCGGAGCAUGUGGAUUAAUUCGAUGCAACGCGAAGAACCUUACCUGGGUUUGACAUACACCGGAAACCUGCAGAGAUGUAGGCCCCCUUGUGGUCGGUGUACAGGUGGUGCAUGGCUGUCGUCAGCUCGUGUCGUGAGAUGUUGGGUUAAGUCCCGCAACGAGCGCAACCCUUGUCCUGUGUUGCCAGCGGAUUAUGCCGGGGACUCGCAGGAGACUGCCGGGGUCAACUCGGAGGAAGGUGGGGACGACGUCAAGUCAUCAUGCCCCUUAUGUCCAGGGCUUCACACAUGCUACAAUGGCCGGUACAGAGGGCUGCGAUACCGUGAGGUGGAGCGAAUCCCUUAAAGCCGGUCUCAGUUCGGAUCGGGGUCUGCAACUCGACCCCGUGAAGUUGGAGUCGCUAGUAAUCGCAGAUCAGCAACGCUGCGGUGAAUACGUUCCCGGGCCUUGUACACACCGCCCGUCACGUCAUGAAAGUCGGUAACACCCGAAGCCGGUGGCCUAACCCCUUGUGGG